UCCUGACAUCUAUGACUGCUC
rnacentral:siRNA from 1 species